rnacentral:lncRNA from 1 species
AUCGAUUCAACCUGCAAAGAAAGCAAUGAGCAAUAUUAAAGAAAACACAUAUCAUGAUAUUAUAAAUAUUGUAUUGUUUUCACUUCAUAUUUAUAAUGAUUCCAUGGCGUACUCAAACAAUAAUAAAAAAAAGGUUCUUACAGAUAGAUCAUCACAUGCCACUUACCUGCAUAAUACCAAUUUUCUGAAAUUUAAUAUCCGUCAUAUUCAUGGAUCUAUGUAUGACUGUAUGUUUGUUGAAAAUGAUCAGCUAGGUAGCUAGAGAGAGAGAGGUGAUAUUUGCAAUACCCGCCGAGGCUUUUGAAAAGGAAAUACAGGUAUAAAAUCUGUCACCGGCGAUGUUUCACCAUGCUACGAAAUAGAUUGGUGUUGGUGUCCACGCAAAGGCUUGUCAAGCAAGCAGUUCUGUUGGACGUGCCCUAAUUCGCUGCCUGUACGACCUUGAACUUGAAGUUUACUUGAAUAGCUACACUUUACAUUUGUAUCAUGUUUCUUAUUAAUUUGUCUGCUAUAACGAAUUAGACUUGUAUAUUGAAUAUUAAAUAAAAAACAAGGAAACAAAACUUAUUAAUAAAGCGCGUAAGAAAACCUUAAAUCUUUAACAAGGGAAAUUAAAUGGAAGGAAAUAAACUUCUUUUGGAUGAAUAAACGGGUCUUUAAGUUAUUCAUAUAUAGGGAAAUUUCCAGGACAAAAACAUACAGAAAAUGUACAUAAACAUGGAUCUAGCUGCUCGAAGGAAUGAAAACGACAAGCUUUGUGAUGAUAUCUGUUCGAAGUGCAACUACUCCAAGCCACAAGACCUUGGACAAUUUGGUUAUAACCAUGGUGGAAAUUGCUUAACAAUUAAGCUAUUGAUCUUGUCACCAAACAAACAUCUUCAUUAUCUAUAACGUCUUAUUGAAAGUGGAAAAGGAGUUUUCAAAACCAAACAGGAUGAGUUGAAAUCAUGAGGGUUUUCCUUGAAGUUCUAAUAUGAUUACUAGCUGCAUGGUUCAACCUUCUCUUUUUCUAAUAUGCAAAAUUAACAAAAGAAGGAAAAAAUAGCAGAAACUGACUUUUUGUAACAUAUGAUCACACACACACACACACAUAUAUAUAUAUAUUCCUCUGCAGAUAGGCAAGCAUUAAAACCUCAAGGUCGAACAGACAACGAGAUCAAGGAAAAUCAACCAGAAACUGUUCACUUGACAAGAGUAGCGUGGAAACCACUCACCCAGUUAAGUGAUAUAUAUAUAUAUAUAUAUAUAUAUAUAUAUAUAUAUAGACGGCCUUCUGACCAAAUCAUCUGUAGGAGUCUCCUGAUCGUUCUCCAUUUGCCAUGAUCAAGCAGACUAUGCCCAGUAUUAUCAAUAUAGACUCUCAG